ACCCGACCUAAGGAAUGUAAUGUGGAGGACGCGGACAUGGUCGUGUAGAAGAUUACUGUAAUGCCUUACUGGCGAAGCUCGGGUGGGGUAUAUUCUUACUCGUCCGGACGAUUUAUGGAUCCGUGUUCUUCUGUACAAAUAUUAUCCUGAUCACAUUGCUGGAACACAGCUCCGUGUGCUUCCAUCGGAUUCUUGGUUGUGGAGCGCAAUAAGCUCUGCCUGAAAUAAAGUGGCCACAGGACGUGUAUGGGCAGUUGGAAGAGGUUCUGGACAAUGCUUCUUUUACUUCGAGUUGCCUCUUGUCCGCCCUCACCAAGCAAAUGCACGUCCGGAUAGGCUAUACUGGUCUAGGGAAGCUCCGGGUAUCUUCUCUGUUACCUCAGGUUUAUUACGGAGCAAUCAUUUUGCAGAGAGGGAUCAGAUUUGGCUUAUAAUAUGGAAAUGGCCGGGUCCUCAGAGGAUUUGUCGAUUCUUGUGGCUUGAGGCACAUAAUCGGCUCCUUACAAAACGAGUAUCGUGUCAGAAUUCAUAUUGCUUCCUCAGCCUACUGCUCGGUUUGUCCAGAUCAUAUUGAGUCUACUCUCCAUGUUCCACGCGACUGUCAAAGAGCUCGUAUGGUCUGGCUGAGGCUUUGUACCUCAAUAUCGGCAAGAUACUUUCUUUUCCCUUGCCUCUUCGCUCCUGAUUGCUUCUUAAUCUGCAGAAAUAACAACCAAACAGCAAUGACAAAUCUUGGGCUGUAGCAUUUGGGACAGGUUGCUGCUUAUUAUGGAAGUGGAGAAACAAGAGUUUGUUCCAUGACCAAUUCUCCCCACCGGUUGAUCCAGCAGCGGCUGUUUCUCGUAUCUCCUCGGGUUUCAACUCUUAUCUAAAUGCUGUUGCAACUCAUGAGGUGAAGGAGCCUUCAUUACGACUAAGCCGUUGGUAUCCUCCACAGAACGGAUGGGUCAAACUUAAUACAGACGGAGCUUCAGCAAGGAAUCCCGGGAUGGCUUCUGCAGGGGUUAAUUCUUCGAGACAGUUCAGGUAACUAUAUUUUCGGUUUUGCCCAAAUGGUCGGGAUUUCCACAGCGGUUGUUGCCAAACUUCGGGGAAUGUUAACUGGUUUGGAGACCGCACGGCGUAUGGGCUAUGAUCAAGUGGUUCUUGAGGUAGAGUUUCGGACGUGGUUCGGUAAAUGAUUUGCCGUAAUGAUCCCUGGGCGCCACAUCUUAUGUCAUUGGUGGACUCCAUUAGAGAGUUAUUGGCAAGAAAUUGGAGUAUUCAGGUUACUCACACAUACCGCGAGGGUAACAGAUGCGCAGAUUGGUUGGCUCGACAUGCGUUUCAAAGGCCGUUAGGCGUUCAUUUUAUGUAGAGUCCUCAUGUAGGUCUUGAAUCGCUUUUAUUUGGUGAUAUAAUUGGGGUUUCUUUAUCCCGCCUUCUUAGCUCGUAGUUUCUUUUUGCUCUUUGUAUUGGACACUGCCCCGUUUCUUACCGAAAAAUAAAAAUAAACGGCAUGUUUCUUAUUA